AACGAACGUUGGCGGCGUGCUUAACACAUGCAAGUCGAGCGAGAACCGGCCUUCGGGCCUUAGUACAGCGGCGCACGGGUGAGUAACACGUGAGUAACCUGCCCCGGAGUUCGGGAUAACCAUUCGAAAGGAUGGCUAAUACCGAAUAAGCCCACAUCUGAUGUGGGAAAAGCCUUGUGUGCUCCGGAAUGGGCUCGCGGCCCAUUAGGUAGUUGGUGGGGUAAAGGCCUACCAAGCCGAAGAUGGGUAGCUGGUCUGAGAGGAUGAUCAGCCACACUGGAACUGAGACACGGUCCAG
rnacentral:rRNA from 1 species